AUUGAACGCUGGCGGCAGGCCUAACACAUGCAAGUCGAGCGGAGCGGCGGACGGGUGAGUAAUGCCUAGGAAUCUGCCUGGCAGUGGGGGAUAAAGUCCGGAAACGGGCGCUAAUACCGCAUACUAGCAGAUGAGCCUAGGUCGGUGUAGCUAGUUGGUGGGGUAAAGGCCUACCAGGGCGACGAUCCGUAACUGGUCUGAGAGGAUGAUCAGUCACAUUGGAACUGAGACACGGGUCAGCCUACGACGGGACGCAGCAGUGGGGAAUAUUGGACAAUGGGAGAAAGCCUGUGCCAGCCACGCCGCGUGUGUGAAGAAGUUCUUCGGAUUGUAAAGCACUUGAAGUUGGGAGGCGUUACCAACAGAAUAAGAACAGGCUAACUGCGAGCCAGCCGCCGCGGUAAUA
rnacentral:rRNA from 1 species